CGAUGAAUCUUCUAGCUUGCUAGAAGUGGAUUAGUGGCGCACGGGUGAGUAAUGCAUAGGUUAUGUGCCCUUUAGUCUGGGAUAGCCACUGGAAACGGUGAUUAAUACUGGAUACUCCCUACGGGGGAAAGUUUUUCGCUAAAGGAUCAGCCUAUGUCCUAUCAGCUUGUUGGUGAGGUAAUGGCUCACCAAGGCUAUGACGGGUAUCCGGCCUGAGAGGGUGAUCGGACACACUGGAACUGAGACACGGUCCAGACUCCUACGGGAGGCAGCAGUAGGGAAUAUUGCUCAAUGGGGGAAACCCUGAAGCAGCAACGCCGCGUGGAGGAUGAAGGUUUUAGGAUUGUAAACUCCUUUUGUUAGAGAAGAUUAUGACGGUAUCUAACGAAUAAGCACCGGCUAACUCCGUGCCAGCAGCCGCGGUAAUACGGAGGGUGCAAGCGUUACUCGGAAUCACUGGGCGUAAAGAGUGCGUAGGCGGGGUAAUAAGUCAGAUGUGAAAUCCUGUAGCUUAACUACAGAACUGCAUUUGAAACUGUUACUCUGGAGUGUGGGAGAGGUAGGUGGAAUUCUUGGUGUAGGGGUAAAUCCGUAGAGAUCAAGAGGAAUACUCAUUGCGAAGGCGACCUGCUGGAACAUUACUGACGCUGAUGCACGAAAGCGUGGGGAGCAAACAGGAUUAGAUACCCUGGUAGUCCACGCCCUAAACGAUGGAUGCUAGUUGUUGCCUUGCUUGUCAGGGCAGUAAUGCAGCUAACGCAUUAAGCAUCCCGCCUGGGGAGUACGGUCGCAAGAUUAAAACUCAAAGGAAUAGACGGGGACCCGCACAAGCGGUGGAGCAUGUGGUUUAAUUCGAAGAUACGCGAAGAACCUUACCUAGGCUUGACAUUGAUA
rnacentral:rRNA from 1 species